CUGGUCUUCCUGUGUUUCAUAGAAGCCCUGCUGAUAAAAUAUCAGUUCAAAAAACAAAUCUGUCACACAACUAAUGCCGCUCAAGCAAAACCAGAGGAUAGCAUGAUCAUGAAUGUGUUUGUUUGAUUUCACAAAUUGUCCUUUCAUGGCCAGUGUAAUCUGUGUUGGUCCUGUGAUAGCACUGUGGGUGAGAAGGCAUCACAAAUAUCAGCAGGAUCACGACCGUUCUUCAUGUUCUGACUUGUUUCCAUGCCAUGUAGGCGAAGGGUAUCUGGCGAGAGACCUUUGCUCUCAUAACAAACAAGGCCACAGAAUUCUUCACAAAGGUUGGAAGAAUCUGUUACUGGAAAACAGGAAUGAAACGCCUACUAUGCCUGCUUGGCGACACUUGUGACCUAACGCUGUGGAACAAUGGAGUGAAAUUCCCUCUUUGCGUUUGUCUGGCUCUAUAGGAGCUGACAGGGUGAAGUUGCCUUUGAGCAAUCGUGGAAGACGGAUGUUGUCGAAUUCUUCUCUCACGUAACUUAUCCAUUACAUGCAAAGCUAUUGUUGCUUACAAUGCAGCUGUCAAACACUGCAGAUCUGUAGUUUUCCACAAGAAACCACAACGAGUGUGAGUCAAAGUCUGUUUUGUGAGACUUUAUCUCACACACCUCAUCGCCAACAUGCUGUCAUCAGUAGACACUCAUAUGACAAACGCGGUUUCACACUGAUUAUGUGUUGUUGUUUGAAGAACUACCAGUGAACAACAUUACCUCAGUCUCAGUAAUAAGGACAACCUUUGUUUUAACACCAUUUUGUCUUCUCUUGCCUUACUAUGUUUGGCCAUACUAUCAGAAAUUAAUUUUGUCUCUUGAUGUCAUCAUUGCAUCUGACUGACAAGCUGUUGACACAGGGUCCUGCUACAAGACAAGGCCACUUGAUGGGGGAUUGAGGAACCUUCAUAAUUGAUACUGGACCUCAAUGGUGCAAAUUUCUUGCAACUUUGUGUUUCAUAAAAAUAUUUUGAUCUGAUUUAAUUUGGCUUUCCUCCACAUCAUGAUAUGGAGCAAAGCUGAAAUCUGGGUGUAUUCACAGAAUCAUUAAAUUGUGGUUGACAAGA